rnacentral:rRNA from 1 species
UCAAGUUAUUAAGGGUGCAGGGCGGAUGCCUUGGCACUAGGAGCCGAUGAAGGACGUGAUAAGCUGCGAUAAGCUUCGGGGAGUUGCACGUAAACUUUGAUCCGAAGAUUUCCGAAUGAGGAAACUCACUUAGAGUAAUGUCUAAGUAUCAUUAAGUGAAUACAUAGCUUAAUGAGGGGAACUCAGGGAACUGAAACAUCUAAGUACCUGAAGGAAGAGAAAGAAAUUCGAUUCCGUAAGUAGCGGCGAGCGAACGCGGAUUAGCCCAAACCAAUAAAGUUUUCUUUAUUGGGGUUGCGGACAUAUCAUAACGAAGAGGUAUCGUAAUUGAAGAGGUUUGGAAAGACCCACCACAGAAGGUAAUAGUCCUGUAUGUUAAACGAGAAGACUUCAGAUAUGAUCCAGAGUACCACGGGACACGUGAAACCCUGUGGGAAGCAGGAGGGACCACCCUCCAAGGCUAAAUACUACCUAGUGACCGAUAGCGUAUAGUACCGUGAGGGAAAGGUGAAAAGAACCCCGGGAGGGGAGUGAAAUAGAACCUGAAACCCUGCACUUACAAGCUGUGGAAGCACAUUUCUUGUGUGACCGCGUACUUUUUGUAGAACGGGCCAACGAGUUACGUUAAGUAGCAAGGUUAAGCACUUAAGGUGCGGAGCCGUAGCGAAAGCGAGUUUUAACUGAGCGUUCAGUUACUUGACGUAGACCCGAAACCGGGCGACCUACCCAUGAGCAGGAUGAAGCGAAAGUAAAAUUUCGUGGAGGUCCGAACCCACGAGCGUUGAAAAGCUCGGGGAUGACUUGUGGGUAGCGGUGAAAUUCCAAUCGAGCCCGGAGAUAGCUGGUUCUCCCCGAAAUAGCUUUAGGGCUAGCCUCAAGGUGAGAGAUACGGAGGUAGAGCACUGAAUGUCCUAGGGGGUAUUGCACCUACCGAAGACUAUCAAACUCCGAAUGCCGUCAUCUUAUACUUGGGAGUCAGACUGUGGGUGAUAAGAUUCAUAGUCGAAAGGGCAACAGCCCAGAUCGUCAGCUAAGGUCCCUAAAUGUAAGUUAAGUGGUAAAGGAUGUGGGAUUGCACAGACAACCAGGAUGUUGGCUUAGAAGCAGCCACUCAUUCAAAGAGUGCGUAAUAGCUCACUGGUCGAGUGAUCCUGCGCCGAAGAUUUCCGGGGCUAAAACUUACUACCGAAGCUACGGCAUCAGUAAUGAUGGGUAGGGGAGCUUCCCAUACGGGUUGAAGCAUGACCGUAAGGACAUGUGGACAGUAUGGGAGUGAGAAUGUUGGCAUGAGUAGCGAGAUGUGGGUGAGAAUCCCACAGGCCGUAAACCCAAGGUUUCCAGGGGAAGGUUCGUCCGCCCUGGGUUAGUCGGGACCUAAGCUGAGGCCGAAAGGCGUAGGUGAUGGACAACAGGUUGAUAUUCCUGUACUACCGAUAACCGUUUGAGAGAAGGGAUGACACAGUAGGAUAAGCUAAGCACACUGUUGGUUAUGUGUGCCCAAGCAUUGAGGCAGUCAAAGCAGGCAAAUCCGCUUUGAUAAUGCUGGGAUGUGAUGGGGAGCGAAAUUUAGUAGCGAAGUAGCUGAUUUCACACUGUCAAGAAAAGUCUCUAUCGAGGUUAAAGGUACCCGUACCGCAAACCGACACAGGUGGGUGAGGAGAGUAUCCUAAGGCCAGCGAGAGAACUGUUGUUAAGGAACUCGGCAAAAUGACCCCGUAACUUAGGAAUAAGGGGUGCCACCAUCCGGUGGCCGCAGAGAAUAGGCCCAAGCGACUGUUUACCAAAAACAUAGGUUUCUGCUAAGUCGCAAGACGAUGUAUAGGAGCUGACGCCUGCCCGGUGCUGGAAGGUUAAGGGGAUCUGUUAGAGCAAUCGAAGCAGUGAACUUAAGCCCCAGUAAACGGCGGCCGUAACUAUAACGGUCCUAAGGUAGCGAAAUUCCUUGUCGGGUAAGUUCCGACCCGCACGAAAGGCGUAACGAUUUGGGCACUGUCUCAACAACAGACUCGGUGAAAUUGUAAUUCCGGUGAAGAUGCCGGAUACCUGCGACAGGACGGAAAGACCCCAUGGAGCUUUACUGUAGCUUGACAUUGGGUCUUGGUACUACAUGUACAGGAUAGGUGGGAGGCUUUGAAACCAGGACGCCAGUUUUGGCGGAGCCAUCCUUGGGAUACCACCCUUGUAGUACUGGGACUCUAACCAUAGGCCAUGAAUCUGGUCUUGGGACACUGUCAGGUGGGCAGUUUGACUGGGGCGGUCGCCUCCCAAAAGGUAACGGAGGCGCUCAAAGGUUCUCUCAGUACGGUCGGAAAUCGUACGUAGAGUGUAAAGGCAAAAGAGAGCUUGAUUGCAAGACAUACAGGUCGAGCAAGGAUGAAAAUCGGACUUAGUGAUCCGGUGGUUCUGCGUGGAAGGGCCAUCGCUCAACGGAUAAAAGCUACCCUGGGGAUAACAGGCUUAUCUCCCCCAAGAGUCCACAUCGACGGGGAGGUUUGGCACCUCGAUGUCGGCUCAUCACAUCCUGGGGCUGUAGUAGGUCCCAAGGGUUGGGCUGUUCGCCCAUUAAAGUGGUACGCGAGCUGGGUUCAGAACGUCGUGAGACAGUUCGGUCCCUAUCCGUCGCAGGCGUAGGAAAUUUGAGAAGACCUGUCCUUAGUACGAGAGGACCGGGAUGGACGUACCUCUGGUGUACCAGUUGUCCUGCCAAGGGCAUGGCUGGGUAGCUAUGUACGGAAUGGAUAAGCGCUGAAAGCAUCUAAGCGCGAAGCCAACUUCAAGAUAAGAUUUCCCACCGCAAGGGUAAGACCCCAGAAAGACUAUCUGGUUGAUAGGUCGAAGGUGUAAGUGCAGCAAUGUAUUUAGCUUAUCGAUACUAAUAGGUCGAGGACUUGACCAA